GAUUUUGUAUAGUGCAACUUUAAUGAAUUCAUUGAUUAGUUCUAACAGGUUUUUUUUUUAAGGUUUUCUACAUAUUAGAUAACAUUAUCUGCAAAUAGACAUAAUUUUACUUCUUUCUUUCCAAUUUGGAUGAUUUUUAUUUCUUUUUCUUGCUCUUUUUGCUUAUUUUUAAUUGCUGUUUUAAUUUCUUUUUCAUUUCAGUACCGUGGUGAAUAGAAACAGCAAGAAUGGGCAUCCUUGCCUUGUUCCAGAUCUUAGAGGAAAAGAUUUCAGUAUUUCACCAUUGAUUCUGAUGUUAACUAUGGAUUUUUCACAUAUGACAUUUAUUGUGUUGAGGAUCUAUGUCAUUCUCAAGAAGUUGACUCCAUGCCUCAGCUUCAAAGAUGGGAUUCUAUACUUGGGUUAAGAGCAGUGACAUCACAUGUGCUUGGGAAGAUUCAGAGUAGAACAUCUCCUGUGAUAUGCCUCACCCCAUCUUUCUACCCUCAAGUCACAAAUGAAGACAAUCUGACAUGCUGAUGUCUUUUGUGUGCCAGGCACUCUGCUAGACAGCGUCUCUGUUCUCUCGGAGCUCACGGUCUCGGAGGAAGAUGAAAUCACACUGAUGAGUGUAUAAUUACAAGCCAAGGUUUGCUGAUGCUCCCUUCUCUACAGCUGACACAGACCAAACACGGAAUAUGAGCCCUUCUUCCUUGAUUCCCACAAAACUCCCUACACAAGGCAAGUGUGUGCGAUCACUUUGACCAAAGAUCCUGGGGCAAUGGUUGGGGGCAGGGCUUACGUUACAGAGCAUCAAAAGAAUACAUGAAAAUGGAAUAUUUUUCUUUUUAAAAUUAAUUUUUAUUGGAGUGUAGUUGCUUUACAAUGUUUUGUUAGUUUCUUGCUGUACAGCAAAGUGAAUCAGUCAUAUAUAUACAUAUAUCCACUAUUUUUUGGAUUUCCUUCCCAUUUAGGUCACACAGAGCAUUGAGUAGAGUUCCCUGUGCUCUACAGCAAGUUCUCAUUGGUUAUCUAUUAUAUACACAGUAGUGUAUAUAUGUCAGUCCCAAUCUCCCAAUUCAUUCCACCUCCUUCCCCUCUUGGUAACCAUAAGUUUGUUCUCUACAUCUGUGACUCUGUUUCUGCCUUGCAAAUAAGUUAAUCUCUGUCAUUUUUCUAGAUUCCACAUAUAAGCGAUAUUAUACAAUAUUUGUUUUUCUCUUUCUGACUUACUUCCCUCUGUAUGACAAUCUCUAGGUCCAUCCACGUCUCUGCAAAUGGCACUAUUUCGUUCCUUUUUUAAUGCCUGAGUAAUAUUCCAUUUAUAUAUGUACCACAUCUUCUUUAUCCAUUCCUCUGUCGAUGGACAUUUAGGUCGCUUCUGUGUCUUGGCUAUUGUAAAUAGUGCUGCAGUGAACAUCAGGGUGCAUGCAUCCUUUCAAAUUAAGGUUUUCUCUGGAUAUAUGCCAAGGAGUGGGAUUGCUGGGUGAUAUGGUAGCUCUAUUUUAAGUUUUGUAAGGAACCUCCAUACUGUUCUCCAUAGUGGCUGUACCAAUUUACAUUCCCACCAACAGUACAAGAGGGUUCCCUUUUCUCCACACCCUCUCCAGCAUUUAUUGUUUGUAGAUUUUUUGAUGAUGGCCAUUCUGACCAGUGUGAGGUGAUACCUCAUUGUAGUUUUGAUUUGCAUUUCUCUAAUAAUUAGUGAUGUUGAACAUCUUUUCAUGUGUUUGUUGGCCAACUGUAUGUCUUCUUUGAAGAAAUGUCUAUUUAGGUCUUCCACCCAAAAAAUGGAAUAUUUUUCAAUCAAACUUAUAAACACCAUUUUCCUUUAUGGUUUUAAAAUGAGUAAUGCACUUUAACAUCCUAUUCUUGAAGUCAUAUUUUCAAUAAAGUAAGACAACUGAAAGGUGGCCAUUGCUAUUUCUAGAAGUUCCCUGGCCAGUCCUACUACCAGGAGGACCAGCCUAAGGUUGUUUGUUGCUUUUCUUUUCUCCUCAAGGCCCAGCCUCCCAUCACGCACUCAGCUGAUUCCCUUUCCUCCUCCACCCCCUCCCUCUCUCUGUCCACACAAACUCUGAAUUCAACUCAAUUUCUCAUGCAAAGCCACUCAUUCUCUCUAUAUUCUGUCCCCUGCCUUCAAACCCUGUGUCUAUCUGAGUGGUAGGAGGGAGAGCUACACUCAAUAGAGCCACAGAUCUAUUAAUUCAUUUGGUUAAGCAAAAAAUCAUUUGCCCCCGAGAGCAAUCACGUUAGCAGAGGGCAAAAGCAUAGAUGCAGUGUUUGUUUAAAUAGCAAUUAGAAAAAUUGUUGCUACCCUGAACCGUGGCUUCACCAAAGAACCCUAUUUUUUUUUUUUUAAGAACCCUAUUUAAAAUGUAGCAAACACUCAGUAGCAAUUUGUAUGGGAACUUUGUCUAUUUGGCCUGCUGCAGAAAGGCAGUCCUCUUUAAAAUGAGCUCUAGGAAUGCUACUGUCAUCAUAUCUUCCUGGGUCACUAGCAGGUGACAGGACAAUUGAGACAAUGUAAAGAAGACUACCCCUACCCCCUUUUCCCAGCCCAGUGAUCUGCCCAACCAUCAUUGGUAUUCUUGACUCAGCCCUCCCACAACAGCUCUAUUCAGUCUCCUCAAUUCUGUUCAGACUUUUUGACCUGGAUCUCAAAUCCUUUUGGGGGCCUUAUUUUGUACUUCCUAUGCCAGGGCCCUGGACCUGUUCUGAAUCCACCCUGAUCCUGGAAAAUCUGCUUUCUGUGCAUUGUCCCCACUCCAUCUAAUCUGUCUGGCUCCAUAUGAGCAGGAUUCAGUGACCUCUGCCUUCAUAUCAUUUCUGCCAGUCCCAAUUUCCAAAGGUCACAUGAAAACCUUGAGGAACAUCAUCCUUUCCCUGUCAUUUCUUCCUCCAGUAUCCCAGCUCCCACUGGGAGUUGACGUUUCUUCCCAGAGGCUUAUUCCAAUCCUCCACCUUUGAGUGGAGUGCACUCUCUGCCUUGCUUCUGGAACUUUGAACCAUCAGAAAGAACCAUGGAAAUAUUACUGGUCUAAGACCAGCCAAAUGCCUCUUUGUUCUGAACAAGAGGAUGUUGGAGUCGUUUGCUUGCAUUAAAAUGGAAAUUUCAGGACAAUAAGAAAUAGAAACUUGCUCAAGGUCUCACUCUCCAAUCCCCUAUUAAAUGAAGUACCAGGGGAUAUUUAAAUAGCACCUGCACUCCUGGAUAAAGGAGGGCUUCUUCAGCUGCAGACCUGCAGGGAGCCCCAAGCAGUGGGUGAUGGCCCUCGAAGCAACCAAAACGCUGUGAGCAACCAGCAUGACCCUUUCCAGGGCAGGGCAGCCAUCUCUACCCUCUUGCUAUUGCAUCCAGGCCCAAAGGUAUGAUCAUAACUUAUCUUACCAGAUUUGGGACAAUAUGGGGUAAAUGUCAUCCUAAUUUUGGUAGAAACAUAAAAGCAAGUAAGCAUGAUUUCUAAACAGAUGGAAUUUUAGUCUAGGGUUUGCAAAAGUUAUAUUCGCCUUCAUUGUAAUUGUAAUUGCCUAUAGAGUGGCAGGUAGAACUCCUUGUUCCUUUCCUAAAAAUCUGCACCUAAUAGCCUCAGCCUGUUAAUCCUGUUUCUCAUAAUUGGGAAACACUGUCUGAUGGACUCAGGGGUCUCCUGUAACAACCACAUGCCAGCGAGUGGUACUGUUCUGAGAAGAACAUCUGCCUUCCUUGAGGACCACACACCCUGGUCCUCUUACAGGUGGACACACAUACUCUGCCUCAGGGACUAGUCUGGGGUUGGCAACAUCUUCAUCCUGGGCAAUCAGAGCCCUACCCAUGGAACUGUGUAACUUGAGCUCGCCAGAGACAGCCCUUUCCACUCUGGAGGUAAGAUUGGGAAUAUGUGAGUCCAGAGCCAUCAGCUGCUCCUGGGCCUACUGCCUGUCCCAAGCCCACCUGCAGGAGGAGAAAAGGAACCUGACACACACAAGAGAAGCAGAGGUGAGGGACACCGAGGGGGCCCGAGGUUCCAGUGACAAAAGUCCUUAGAAAAGUCGUGGGUACAGCCUUCCUGAGGCUCUGUUUUUAGGUUGUGGUUUUUUUUUCUGAUAUUGGUUUUGACUUUCUGAACUACCCUGAUCCCUCCAAUGUAUCUUUUUUUUUUUUUCUAAGAAGAUGUUGGGGGUAGGAGUUUAUUAAUUUAUUUAUUUUUGCUGUGUUGGGUCUUCAUUUCUGUGCGAGGGCUUUCUCUAGUUGUGGCAAGUGGGGGCCACUCUUCAUCGCGGUGCGCAGGCCUCUCACUAUCAUGGCCUCUCCUGCUGCGGAGCACAGGCUUCAGACGCGCAGGCUCAGUAGUUGUGGCUCACGGGCCUAGUUGCUCCGUGGCAUGUGGGAUCCUCCCAGACCAGGGCUCAAACCCGUGUCCCCUGCAUUAGCAGGCAGAUUCUCAACCACUGCGCCGCCAGGGAAGCCCACCUCCAAUGUAUCUUUUUAUGCUUAGAUGAAUCUAUUUGGUUUUCUAAUACCUGGAACUCAAAGAAUCCUAAUUACCAAAUGGCCCGUUAUUUAUCUUGAUAAUUGAUAUAAUUACUAUGUUCCAGGAAUUGUGUGAGGCCUUGCGGAAAUGCACAUAAGUAGAAUGGCUUCUCCUCCUACAGUACUCACCCUCCGGGGGAAGCCGCAGCUGGAUAGCACUUCCUUCUCUGAGUUCCUGGAUUUAUCUGGGUGUCAACGACCCUUUCUGAGGAUACUUUAGCACGCUCUCUCCACAGGAGCAGCAAUGGCCCUUUUUCCAUUUUAUAUUCCUAUUAUCUAGUGCAAUCAUAAAGACCCUCUGAAUAUUUUUUAUGGGAAUAAGUGAAAUGCAAUAAUAAUAACAACGAAGAUGUUUUAUAGUUUUCAAAGCCCUUUCAGAUAAAUUAUAUCAAAUACCUAGACUAUCCAUGGGAUCUUUAUAGUAGAAAGUUGAUGUUUAUCAGCAUCACAGCCAAAUAAAAACAUCCUGUAAGACCUUCAGCUUCCUUCCCUUUUCUUAUCUAAUCUUAAUCUGGCUUUCUAAGGAGGCCUUCUUACUGGGAAAAGAAUGAGCUAAUGACCAAGAGCAGGGGAGGAAGGGUGAUAAAAGCAUCUGGUUAACUUGGUUGCAUUUCCUGAAAAUAAAAUUAAUUGGUUUCUGUCGAAGAUGAAUCUCAGGGCCUCAGGUACCUAACAACCUGAUCCUCCAGUGGUGACCUAGGAAGCAAAGUUCAGGAUCUGCAAAGCUGAGGCCCCGACACCUCAUUCACUCUUUCAUUCAACAAGUUCUAUUGAGUGCCAAUUAUGUAUCAAACAUUACGGUAAUUGUUGUUACUCUCCCCACUCUCCGUAGUUUACAGCCUAGUACAGUGGUUCUCAAACUGACUUGUACCUUGGAAUCACCAGGAGAGCUGAUACCUGAAUCCCAUCCCCAGAGACUGAAAUUUCAUUAGUCUGGGGUGUGAUCUGGAUAUCUGGAGUUUUCAAAUGUCCCCAGGUGAUUCUAAGUGUGUCACCAAGGCUGAGAACCACUGGUGUAGGGAAAGAGAAAGAUGCAUAAGCAGGGAAUUACUAGCAAGAUUUAAGCACAUGAUGCAAUGGGGCCACGUGAGACCCUCUCUGCCCAGGCUUGGAAGACCCUGAGAGGCUUCCCGGAGGAGGCAACAGAGACCUAAGGGGCCAUGAGGACUGGCCAGGUGAUGAUGUUGGGAAGAUGGGAGAAGAGUAUUCUGAGCAAAAAGAACAGUAAAUGUCAUAAGAAAGUGCCCUGAAGAGAGAGAGCAAUCCUGGUGUGUUAGAUGAGAAUAGAAAAUGGCUUUACAGCAAAAGGAGGGAUAGGCAGUGAUAAAAAUUGAGCUUGAAAAGGUGAGCAAAGGUCAAAACACAAAAAUGGAAGUUUUGGGAAGUAACUCGGAAGGCAAUGGGGACACGUGACAAGGUGUGCCCCAGGAGAAUGAAAGCAUCAGCUGUGUUAGAGCCAGAACCCUCAUUCAUCGGAAUAACUGUGA